UAAGCCUAAAUACUACCUGAUGACCGAUAGCGGACAAGUACCGUGAGGGAAAGGUGAAAAGUACCCCGGAAGGGGAGUGAAAUAGAACAUGAAAGCUUAAGCUUACAAGCAGUGGGAGAACGACUAAACGUUUGACCUCGUACCUGUUGAAGAAUGAGCCGGCGACUUGUAGGUAGUGGCAGGUUAAGGUAGAAAAUACUGGAGCCAUAGUGAAAGCGAGCCUGAAUAGGGCGUUAGUCACUGUUUACAGACCCGAACCCGGAUGAUCUAACCAUGGCCAGUGUGAAGCUUAGGUAACACUAAGUGGAGGCGCGAACCGACUGAUGUUGAAAAAUCAGCGGAUGAGUUGUGGUUAGGGGUGAAAUGCCAAUCGAAUCCGGAGCUAGCUGGUUCUCCCCGAAAUGCGUUUAGGCGCAGCGGUUAACGCUAUAGCUUAGGGGUAAAGCACUGUUUCGGUGCGGGCUGCUAACGCGGUACCAAAUCGAUGCAAACUCUGAAUACUAAGUGUGUAGUUAACCAGUAAGACUGUGGGGGAUAAGCUCCAUUGUCAAGAGGGAAACAGCCCAGACCACCAGCUAAGGCCCCCAAAUAAUUACUAAGUGGCAAAGGAUGUGGGAACACUGAGACAAUCAGGAGGUUCGCCUAGAAGCAGCUAUCCUUUAAAGAGUGCGUAAUAGCUCACUGAUCAAGUGCACCUGCGCCGAAAAUGACUGGGACUAAGUAAUUUGCCGAAGCUGUGGGAUUUUUAAAAAUCGGUAGGGGAGCGUUCCACCUUAGAUAGAAGCAUUAGCGUAAGCGGAUGUGGACGAAGUGGAAGUGAGAAUGUCGGCUUGAGUAGCGAAAACAUUGGUGAGAAUCCAAUGCCCCGAAAACCUAAGGUUUCCUCCGGAAGGCUCGUCCGCGGAGGGUGAGUCAGGACCUAAGGUGAGGCCGAAAGGCGUAACUAAUGGACAACGGGUUAAUAUUCCUGUACCAUUUAUUACUGGUAUCGAGGGACGGAGAAGGCUAAACCAUCCGGAUGUUGGUUACCGGUUUAAACGUUAAAGGUGUUGAGAAACGGAGAAAACGUUUUGAGCUAAGGCGUGAAUACGAGAUACUAAGGUAUCGAAGUGGUUGAUGUCAUACUUCCAAGAAAAGCUCGAAAUACCAUAAGUAAUAAAUGCCUGUACCUUAAACCGACACAGGUAGGUAGGUAGAGUAUACCAAGGGGCGCGAGAUAACUCUCUCUAAGGAACUCGGCAAAAUAACCUCGUAACUUCGGAAGAAGAGGUACCCUUGCAAGAGGGUUGCAAUAACCAGACCCUGGCGACUGUUUACCAAAAACACAGGUCUCCGCAAAUUCGUAAGAUUAAGUAUGGAGGCUGACGCCUGCCCAGUGCCGGAAGGUUAAAGAAGUUGGUCAAUCCUCGGAUGAAGCUGGCGACUGAAGCCCCGGUGAACGGCGGCCGUAACGAUAACGGUCCUAAGGUAGCGAAGUUCCUUGUCGGGUAAGUUCCGACCCGCACGAAAGGCGUAACGAUCAGGGUGCUGUCUCGGAGAGAGGCUCGGCGAAAUAGACAUGUCUGUGAAGAUGCGGACUACCUGCACCUGGACAGAAAGACCCUAUGAAGCUUUACUGUAUCUUGGAAUUGGGUUUGGGCCUUGCUUGCGCAGGAUAGGUGGGAGGCUUUGAAGAUAUUCUUGCGGGAAUAUUGGAGCCAAUGGUGAGAUACCACUCUAGCAUGGCUAAAAUUCUAACUUUGAACCGUUAUCCGGUCGAAGAACAGUUUCAGGUGGGCAGUUUGACUGGGGCGGUCGCCUCCUAAAAGGUAACGGAGGCGUGCAAAGGUUCCCUCAGGCUGGUCGGACAUCAGUCGUAGAGUGUAAAGGCAUAAGGGAGCUUGACUGCGAGACCUACAAGUCGAGCAGAGACGAAAGUCGGCCUUAGUGAUCCGACGGUUCCGAGUGGAAGGGCCGUCGCUCAACGGAUAAAAGUUACUCUAGGGAUAACAGGCUGAUCUCCCCCAAGAGUUCAUAUCGACGGGGAGGUUUGGCACCUCGAUGUCGGCUCGUCGCAUCCUGGGGCUGGAGUUGGUCCCAAGGGUUGGGCUGUUCGC
rnacentral:rRNA from 1 species